rnacentral:rRNA from 1 species
GUCCACGCCCUAAACGAUGCUUACUCGAUGUAUGGCACUAGUUGUUGUGCGUCCAAGGGAAACCGUUAAGUAAGCCACCUGGGGAGUACGACCGCAAGGUUGAAACUCAAAGGAAUUGACGGGGUCCGCACAAGCGGUGGAGCAUGUGGUUUAAUUCGAUGAUACGCGAGGAACCUUACCUGGGCUAGAAUGCGAGUGACAGGCCGCGAAAGCGGUCCUUCCUUCGGGGACACAAAGCAAGGUGCUGCAUGGCUGUCGU